AGAGAGAGACAUGCGCGCAUAUCAAUAAGCGGAGGAAAAGAAACUAACUAGGAUUCCCUUAGUAACGGCGAGUGAAGCGGGAAGAGCUCAAAUUUGAAAUCUUCAAGGUUUUACCUUGACGAAUUGUAGUUUAAAGAAGUGUUUUCUGCUGAAGUUUUGGUAAAAGUUCUUUGGAAUAGGACAUCAUAGAGGGUGAGAAUCCCGUAUUUGACCAUUAUUUUCAGCUUUGUGAUACACUUUCAAAGAGUCGGAUUGUUUGGGAAUGCAGUCCAAGAAUGGGUGGUAAAUUUCAUCUAAAGCUAAAUAUUGGCGAGAGACCGAUAGCGAACAAGUACCGUGAGGGAAAGAUGAAAAGAACUUUGAAAAGAGAGUUAAACAGUACGUGAAAUUGUCAAAAGGGAAGCGUUUGACACCAGUGUUGUUUUCUCGAAAAUCAAUUAAAAAUGGCUCGAUUUUGUAUUGUUGAGACCUUAAAAGCUCACUGUACAUUUUUCGUGUCUUUUUUAAUGCACUUUUCGUUUAACAAGUCAACAUCAGUUUCUUUUGUUGUAAAAGGGUCAUUGGAAGGUGGCUUUCUUUUCGGAGAAAGUGUUUAUAGCCUUUGGCCUCUGCAAUCGGAGAGACUGAGGUCUGCAGCGUAGACUCUUCGGGGUUAGAUACAUUUGUGCUAAGUUAUAGCUUUUUAUAGACAACUUGUUGACUAUAAUUAGUCUUGUAGCUUACUCGCUUAUGCUAUUUUACCUACGCUUAGGAUGUUGAGUCGUAGAGCACGCAG
rnacentral:rRNA from 1 species